UGAAAGUAAGGCCUUCGGGUUGUAAAGCCCUUUUGUUGGGAAAAGAAAUCCAGCUGGUUAAUACCCGGUUGGGAUGACGGUACCCAAAGAAUAAGCACCGGCUAACUUCGUGCCAGCAGCCGCGGUAAUACGAAGGGUGCAAGCGUUACUCGGAAUUACUGGGCGUAAAGCGUGCGUAGGUGGUCGUUUAAGUCCGUUGUGAAAGCCCUGGGCUCAACCUGGGAACUGCAGUGGAUACUGGACGACUAGAGUGUGGUAGAGGGUAGCGGAAUUCCUGGUGUAGCAGUGAAAUGCGUAGAGAUCAGGAGGAACAUCCAUGGCGAAGGCAGCUACCUGGACCAACACUGACACUGAGGCACGAAAGCGUGGGGAGCAAACAGGAUUAGAUACCCUGGUAGUCCACGCCCUAAACGAUGCGAACUGGAUGUUGGGUGCAAUUUGGCACGCAGUAUCGAAGCUAACGCGUUAAGUUCGCCGCCUGGGGAGUACGGUCGCAAGACUGAAACUCAAAGGAAUUUGACGGA
rnacentral:rRNA from 1 species